rnacentral:lncRNA from 1 species
CCCAGUUUAGUCAGCCCGGUUCUAGCUCUCCCGUUAGUCAGCCCGGGUAGUUCUCCCCGUUAGUUCAUGCCCGGUUAGUCUCCCCAGUUAGUCAGCCCGGCUUAGUUUCCCCAGUUAGUCAGCUCCGGUUUAGUCUCCCAGUUAGUUCAGCCCGAGUUCCGGUAGUCUCCCCAGUUAGUCAGCCCGGUUAGUCUCCCAGUUAGUCCCCUUAGUUCAGUGUCCCCGGUUAGUCUCCCCAGUUGGUCAGACCGGUUAGUCUCCCCGGUUAGUCUCCCCAGUUGUCAGCCCGGUAAGUCUCCCCGUAGUCAGCCCGGUUAGUUAGUCUCCCCAGUUAGUCAGCCCGGUUAGUCUCCCCCAGUUAGUCAGCCCGGUUAGUCUCCCCAGUUAGUCACCCGGUUAGUCUCCCAGUUGGUCUGCCCGGUUAGUCUCCCCCAGUUGGUCAGCCCGGUUAGUCUCCCCCGUUAGUCAGCCCUGUAGUCUCCCCAGUUGGUCAGCCAGCUACUAACCUGUAGUUAAAGUCUUUGUCGGUUCCGUCCGAGGAAGCGUUGGUACAUCUGAGUGAUGAACUCGUCCCUGAGCGAGCU